ACAACCGCGGAUGGGGAGGAUGCGGGUGGGGUGAAUUACAUGGAGAAUGGAGUAGGCGGCGAGCUCCACAAAGGGGAUGAGGGGCGUGGGGCUGAAGGUAUGGUUCGCUACAGCGGUGGUGACACGGAACCUACCACGCCCACCGGAUCUCGGUUGUUGCUCUCUCUCGAUCUGUUCGAUACUCGGUUGUUUCUUUACUCUCCAUCCAGAUCCUGCAGAGGCGCCUUGGGCUGGUGAGGUCGCUGGUGUUGGCAACGAUGCUGCAGAUCGGGUCGCACCUCUUUGUCACCUGGAGCUUCCCCGAGGUUCCCGGUACUAUUGAUGGUGUCUCUUUCUGUUCUUAUUACUGCUGCACAAAGCUGUUGAGCUUGGUCGUUUUCCUUUCUUGGUUGUGUUUGCAGACCAGGACACACAUCGUGGUGACUUGGUCAGCUCCUUGGUCAUCAUCUGGUCCAUCACCGAGGUAUGUAUUCACCAUUGACUUCACUCAUAUCAUACGCUCCUUGAAAGCUAGGGACUACAGUUGUUCAUAAUAAAUGUAUUAUCAAGCCGCGAGGCGCUCCUGUUGAUGUGCACACUAGCUCGAGAUGUGUCCCUCAAUUAAUGCAAAUGCGAGUAUGCGAUGACGAUUUGACAUGUGUGUGUUGCUGCUUCAAAUUGAAUUUCUAGAUACUAAUGAGGAAUUUAACAAAGAAUUAUUAUAGCUUAAUUUACUAUACUUCACUAUUAUAUCAGGGGAGAUGUGGUUACAUCUUAAUUUACUAUGCUUCAAACUGUUUUCACGCUAUUGUAUGGUGCUUGCGAGACCUUGCCAUCUAAGGUUGCUCCAAAAUAACGGCUAGGCAACGCCUUAAACUAUGUGUUUGGUGAAACUUUUAAAUAGGAGAAUAUAGUGGAAACAUUGCAAUACCCACACACUUGUUCAGAAGUGUUUUGAAGCGUUGUAACCGGAGGCCAGUUUCAAGUAAAAUAAAAAAGGGAGUAUUGACAAUGUGUCUUCAGUAUGUUAUGUAGAAGGUAGUGUCCCACCUUUGUAUUUUCAUAUGGUUUGUUUACCACAGGCCAUCAGUUUUUGUAAUUUUGUGUGCUCGUUCUCUGAAAAUUAUUUCAUGUUAUUUGUACUCAGGUGCGUAACCUAACUACUCCCUCUGUCCCGCAAUUCUUAUCUGGACCACCACCAACCGGAGACGACGGGAACCGUAGCUGCUGCAACAACCUGUUAACCCGCCGGUGGCAGCAAGCUAAAGGCUCCCCCUUGCAAGGUCAAAGGAGAAGUACAACAGCGACAAUGUCCUGGAGCAGCACGGCGAUCUGGACGGGAAGGAGGGUAGCAGCAGGACGAGGGGCGCAACUAAGCCGUCUUGCUCUCUUCGGUCGACCCUCCAUGACGGACGCCACAAGAUCUUCUGUCUGCAGAAAGUGAAUUACUUGCUCAUCUAUUUAUUCUUUUGAAAUUGCAGCUGAAUUUUGUCAAACCUAGAGCGGGAUUUUGCAGCAAGAGAUAUCUCUGACAACCACUGUGCAAUCAUCUCAACGAUAAAAAUUUAGUGUAAAAUUUUGUCAAACUGAAUCUUUCUCAACAGAUUUAGUUAUUUUGCUAAAAAAUCAGUUUUGUAUCCUGCUCUGAAUAUAAAGUGUACUGCUUAUUGCAAGCAAGUUUAAAAUUUCAGUCUAAAAGUCAGUUAACUGAAUUUUGACACAAUAGUUAACUGAAUUUACUGUCAUCCCUAUCAAAUGCAGUUUAUCCGUUCGUCCUGCUUCUCACUUUCUUCUAUGUUUUCUAAGAAAAAAUUAACUUCCUUCUGUAGUUAUUCACAUGAUAUAUGUGCCAACUUCCUUUCGCAAAAUCUUGCCAUCUUGACCAACAUUUUGACAGGCUUACUGCUAAUCUAGGGCCACAUGAGACUUUGUUGGGUUAGUUAUUUUUCGCACCAACCAACAAUGCAUAGAAAUCUGCUAGAUUACCCAAGUCCAUAGCAAAGGAGGAAGAAAGUGAAAUGUGAGGCUGAUCAACUUAUCCAUCAGCUAGAUAACCCCAAGUGUAACUGGGUUCAGGGCCUGUACUUGCUUACCGAUGGAAAAGGACAAAUAAUUGGAUUGCUGUUUUCAACAAUGGGUGUUGAUGUUUGCAUGAUCAGUGUUAAUCCAAGGUAAUCAAAGUACUGAAUCACUCCUUUCUGGAGUAUUGUCAUUUAACAAUAAACUGAGUUACUGCCAUUUAAGAGUAAAUUGAAUUUAUCUUGAGUAUGCAGUAAACUUGCUAGAGUACAAAUUUAUGCAUUACUCCAUAUUUUCUGAAGUACUGUCAUUUACUCCAUACUCCAAAUUUAUGCAUUAUUCCUUGCUGGAGUAUUUUUAAAAUACUCCUAGUGUUAAAAUCGUCAUGUUGUAUAAACUUGGCAUCUUGUUGUUCACUAUAUUUCUUUUCACUGAUGCAUUUUCCAUGUUAUUUUAAUCUGACAUACCACAUUAAUUUCUUAUUCAACGAUGUUCUUAACUAUUUACAGGUUGUAACAAAAUUUCUCACUAUGGAGUCCUUGCUUGACGAGAGCGUUGACAAGGAGAUAAAUUUGCAGAUCGAAUGAGGUGGAACUCCUUUAACAGUAACGCUGAAGGUAGUUUGCAAGCUUGCCAUGUCUUGUUUAAUCUUCAUACCAGAGAGCAGUAUAUAUGAUCGAUUACUCCGUGUAAUAAUGCAUCUUUGACUUUGCAGAUCGAAAUGUAGGAACUAGUUAUUUUGGAAGAACUAGUUAUGUAGGAACAGUCUAUAUAAGGAUGUAUAUAGAUAUAUUUUAAAAUAUUUAUCUAUUUAUUUCGUUUCAUACGUACUCUGUAGUAAAAUCUUUAAAAGAUCUUAUAUUUAAAAACAAAGGAGGUUGAGUAUUGGUCAGAUGCUUAUAGUAGGCCUAAUUAAGUAGCCCAUUGUUUAUCACAUACAUGCAUGAACCUUUUGUUUGAGAAUCAUACGUGCAUGGAUGUUGCCCAGGUAAACCAAGACGCACGGUAGAAUCUUCCCACUGUUUAUCAUGUAUGUAAGCUGUCUCACAGACAUCGAGCCUGGGCAAGUGCCCGGGGUGGUCGGGCGCUGGCUCCGCCACUGCCUACUUUCAUUGUUCUUUUCUGAGCCGAAUAGCUUAUGCUCUCAGAGUAUCAGGAAAAGAAUAUGUAAUUGUUUCUAUGGUAUUUGGCCUUCAUGUAUAUUUCAUACCGUAUCUCCGUAUGCCUUCUUUCUUGUGCAGUAAACAUAAAAAUAUAUGCUACAUUAUAAUAUUCUGUACCAGGUGCACGCACACUUUGCAUGCAUUUUUACAUCAUGGUGAUUAGAAGCAGAAUAGACAAUUAUUCAGAGACGUAAAGAUUAGAAUAAAAAAGAUUCACAUGUAUUUUAUCUGUACCUUCAUUACUAGAAGUUGUAUGCUUUCUUAUGUUUGAUUAUUUGAAUUACCAGGAUGAUCUGAAGCACCCAAAAGAAGUAGAGGACAUGACGGGAGAAGGGAACAAGAAGCUUCGUUUAUCAUUGAUGUUAUGUUGUGCACUUGUUGGGCCUUGAACCUUUAUGUGUAGAGGAGUCGAUGAAUGAUGUAUUGUAAUUCAUGUGAUGUGUUACUGAAAUGAAAUAUAUACAACUAAUUUGCAAUAUUUUAUUCUUGUGUAUUUGUUUUUUAAUUGGUCUAUCCUGAGAUAUACAUGCUUUUAGUAAAAUAAUGCAUCAGCC
rnacentral:lncRNA from 1 species